GCCAUUUUGAAGCUUAUAUAGCUCCGAUUGACGAGCUGUUUAUUACGUUGGAUAGCUGGUGAUAUCCUGAUCAUACAGAUAAAUUUUUUAAGAGAUUUUAGAGUGCUUUUAUGAGAAGUUUGAAGCUUCUUAUUAAGAGACUCUUGUACAAGGGUCGAGUGAUGAGUUCUUUUUAUAUUCUUUAUUUUUGUUUCUCUCAUGAUGA
rnacentral:lncRNA from 1 species